rnacentral:tRNA from 1 species
GUAGCCUAGAAGGCAUGGCAUCUGCCCGGUAAGCGGAACAUUGUGGGUUCGAUUCCCAUCCCUGGACA